ACUCAAAUGAAUUGACGGGGAUCCGCACAAGCAGUGGAUUAUGCGGUUUAAUUCGAUGCAACGCGAAGAACCUUACCAGGGAUUGACAUGCCGAGAAUCUCUCAGAGAUGGGAGAGUGCCCCAAACGGAACUCGGACACAGGUGGUGCAUGGCUGUCGUCAGCUCGUACCGUAAGGCGUAGAGUUAAGUCUCGCAACGAGCGCAACCCUCGUCUUUAGUUGCUAACACUCUAAAGAGACUGCCGGUGCAAGCCGGAGGAAGGAGAGGAUGACGUCAAGUCAGCAUGCCCCUUACAUCCUGGGCUACACGCGUAAUACAAUGGUCGAGACAAUCGGCAGCGACCUCGCGAGAGCAAGCGAAUCUGACAAACUCGACCCCAGUUCGGAUUGCAGGCUGCAACUCGCCUGCAUGAAGCCGGAAUUGCUAGUAAUCGCCGGUCAGCCAUACGGCGGUGAAUACGUUCCCGGAUCUUGUACACACCGCCCGU
rnacentral:rRNA from 1 species